rnacentral:rRNA from 1 species
AGAGAUGUGUGAUGACGCAUAUCAAUAAGCGGAGGAAAAGAAACUAACAAGGAUUCCCUUAGUAACGGCGAGUGAAGCGGGAAGAGCUCAAAUUUGAAAUCUUCAAGGUUUUACCUUGACGAAUUGUAGUUUAUAGAAGUGUUUUCUGUUAGUGGAGUGGCAAAAGUUCUUUGGAAUAGGACAUCAUAGAGGGUGAGAAUCCCGUAUUUGACCGUUACUUUCCAGCUGUGUGAUACACUUUCAAAGAGUCGGAUUGUUUGGGAAUGCAGUCCAAAAUGGGUGGUAAAUUUCAUCUAAAGCUAAAUAUUGGCGAGAGACCGAUAGCGAACAAGUACCGUGAGGGAAAGAUGAAAAGAACUUUGAAAAGAGAGUUAAACAGUACGUGAAAUUGUCAAAAGGGAAGCGUUUGACACCAGUGUUGUUUAGUUGAAAAUCAAUUCAAUAAUUUUUGAUUUUGAGUAGUAUUGACUUCAUCAGCUUGCUGCUCUCUUUUCGGAAAUUAUUGAAUGCACUUUUCAGUUAACAAGUCAACAUCAAUUUCUUUUGUUGUAAAAGGGUAAGAGGAAGGUGGCUUUCACUUCGGUGAAAGUGUUUAUAGCCUUUGGCUUCUGCAAUCGGAGAGAUUGAGGUCUGCAGCGUAGAUCCUUCGGGGUUAGAUACGUAGAUGCUAAGUUAUAGUUUUUUAUAGACAACUUGUUGACUAUGAUUAAUCAUGUAGCUUACUCGUUUGCGCUAUUUUACCUACGCUUAGGAUGUUGAGUCGUAGAGCACGCAG